GUAAGGAAUAUUGGACAAUGGACGCAAGUCUGAUCCAGCCAUGCCGCGUGAAGGAUUAAGGUCCUCUGGAUUGUAAACUUCUUUUAUAAGGGACGAAAAAAGGCUUUUCUAAGUCGUCUGACGGUACCUUACGAAUAAGCACCGGCUAACUCCGUGCCAGCAGCCGCGGUAAUACGGAGGGUGCAAGCGUUAUCCGGAUUCACUGGGUUUAAAGGGUGCGUAGGCGGGCAGGUAAGUCAGUGGUGAAAUCCUAGAGCUUAACUCUAGAACUGCCAUUGAUACUAUCUGUCUUGAAUAUUGUGGAGGUAAGCGGAAUAUGUCAUGUAGCGGUGAAAUGCUUAGAUAUGACAUAGAACACCUAUUGCGAAGGCAGCUUACUACGCAUAUAUUGACGCUGAGGCACGAAAGCGUGGGGAUCAAACAGGAUUAGAUACCCCGGUAGUCC
rnacentral:rRNA from 1 species